UAGCUCAGCUGGUAGAGCAUGCGCGUACAAAGCGUAGGCGGCGUCCAUGCGUGGGUUCGAAUCCCAC
rfam:Echinostoma caproni strain Egypt genome assembly, scaffold: ECPE_scaffold0001100